rnacentral:tRNA from 1 species
UGUGUUUAUAGCUUAAUUGGAUAAAGCAGUAAACUACGGAUUUAAAGAUUGAGAGUUCAAAUCUUUCUAAACACAG